GACGUAGGGGGCCAGCGUUGUUCGGAAUUACUGGGUGUAAAGGGUUCGUAGGCGGUGCGGCAAGUCGGGAGUGAAAUCUCUGGGCUUAACCCAGAGGCUGCUUCCGAAACUGCUGUGCUUGAGUGUGGGAGAGGCGCGUGGAAUUGCAGGUGUAGCGGUGAAAUGCGUAGAUAUCAGGAGGAACACCAGCGGCGAAGGCGGCGCUCUGGGCCGGAACUGACGCUGAGGAGCGAAAGCGUGGGUAGCAAACAGG
rnacentral:rRNA from 1 species